CCCGCGUCCGCCAUUUUGUGACUCAGCAAUUUUACAAAGUCAGCAUCGUUGGAUCAGGGAAAACAACAUUGUGUUUUCGGUUAAUAAAUGUGGACUUGCAAAGAGUGCAGUUUGGAAGUGGAUACCAGGACUUGGUGUUGAAACAUUUUAGGCAGGCGCAUGGGCAUCUUCGAGGUAGUUAUCGAUAUCCAUGUCCCUACACCGAUUGCCCUUGUACAUUUAACACAUGGAGUAAGCUAUCUCCAUCAAGCACUGGAGGGGCUGACCUAAUUGAGCUUGGUAACUUGGAAGAUCCAUAUCCGCUUGUUGAGUAUAUGGUUGGGGGUUUGCGGAUGUUGAUAUUGAAAAGAUUCAUCAUUGUCAGAGGUUAGUACAAUUUUUAAUAAUCAUCCACUGAUCAACUUAUAAUGCUGCUUUUUUCAUCCUCAUUUAGUAUAGCCUAGGAGUAGCCCUAAUGUUGACUGUAGGAGGCAACAUGACUCAGGAGGUAGAGUGGUUGUCUCUCAACCUGAAGGUUGUGGGUUUGAUCCUCCAUCCUCCCAUGUCUAAAUAUCCUUUGGGCAAGAUAUUAAACCCCCGUUUGCUCCUGAUGCAUCAGUAGGUAAAUGUGCUAACAGUAUCAAAGAGCCUUGGAGGUGGAAAAGCACUAUACAAGUGAAAGAGCUCCAAACAACGAUAAAGACAUUUUUUCAGCUGGCAGAAGAUUUCCGCCUCCAAUAUAUGGAUUCUGACUUCAAUGCUUUCAUGAACCUAACAGAUAUGUCAGAUGUUCAAGACAAAGGCACAGUGAAGGUAAUAUGCACGGCAACCAUGCUGCCUGAAGAACCUACCAUUAUGCUGUACCCAGUGGACCCAGGGCAGUUGAAUCCACACCCAACCUCACCUCCUGAAACAUCUCCCGACUCCCUCCUACCCCAAACCACUUCAUCAUUGGCUUCAUCCAGCAGUGAUGACACAGUCCACACAUCAACACCACAUUCAUCACCUCAAGUACAGCUCUCCAAGUGCUCCUGCUGGCCUAAGAUUUUUGUGGUCCCAAAGUUUUCAUAUGAGGCUGAGUUGGAGUUGCAGUAGAAAAAUAAUGAGUUUGCGAGAGAUGGCGUAUAUUUCAACCCAGGACCAAAACUUAAAGGACAAAUUCUUGAUGGACUGGCUCAAGAAAUAAUGAAAUACACAAAGUAUCCAAAAGAUUAUCAGUGUGAAGAGGUGGCUGAAGCCUUAACUAGAGCCCAUCCUUGUCUGGGGCAGUUGGGGAACAGGACAGGAUUUUGGGGUUGGAAACAGUCCCUGAAAUACAAGCUGCAGAACUAUCGGACAAAACUGGGGCGGCUAGGUGAUCCUGAAAUUCGUGUGUUUCAGUGUGAUGAAAUAGAUGCGAAGAGGGAGUGUGUGCUGAGGAGCCUGAUUAUCUACCUCAACGAGGAUCCAGCUUCCCUUGUCAAGGAGUACCUGGCAACUGCUAUUGAGGAUGCAGAAAAUGAUCUUGCAACAACUGUUAUGUGCAUUUUCGUUGUCAGAGAUGGUGAGUGUGACUUUCCUGAUAACAUAUGGGUUGUCAUUGAAGGAGUUAAAGUCCUCGCCAAUGUCAGAAGUGUCAUUAUGGCUUUUGCCUUGCUCUUUGGGCUUAUCUAUGCCUUGGAUCUCAGCUAUCCAGACAACCUAAAAUACACAUUUGAGUUUGUCCAGAAGAUUCUAAUGAAUAUGGAUGGACACAAACUCAAUGUGAAAAUACAACAGUUGAAAAUGAAGAUGUUCAUCUAAAUGGAGGUAUAAACUUUGGCCUAUUGUUUGUUCUGUUGCCUGUUGUCUAACAUGUUUAAACAUUUGAAAUUGCACUACUUUUCUAAACCUGUUUACCUCAAGAAACCAAGUGUGGAGGACCAAAUGGGACAGAAUGAAAUAGAUAAAUGCAUCUUUAAAUAAUUACAUGUCGGUAGUUAAAUUUUACAAAUCUUUAAAUUACUUAAAUUCGUCAUUACAUAAUACACCAUUAAGUAAUCAAAUGCGUCAAUAACUGUCUUUAAGUCAAAUAUCAGCUCAUUUACUGUAGAAACGUAAGUAUUUCAAAUUAUUUCACUAUUUAAUUAUUAUUAGUUAUUUUAAUAAUUUAGUUAAUUUUUUCACUAUAAUUGUUUCGUGGAGUUGUGGUUGCAUGUUUAUGAAUUGUGCGGAAAUAACUCCCAACACAAAAAAAUUCCUCUGACUUAUGUGAUCUCUAGAUCAGCAGAUCCUGCUUCCACAUACUCUGUAAGGUUUAAAAUACCUUUCACCAACUCCCGAGAAAGUUAGGAGUUUGUAUAACUUCUGGACUUCAGACCAUUCGACCAGAUUGACGUUAGUCACACCCACAGAUUUUGAUGGGUGUUUGUGAUACAUAAUUCAUGACGCUGCACCCCCAAAGCCAUGAAAUAAUUAAAUUAGUAAAUAAUUAAUCAAAUAAAUAAAUUGUGUAAUAAUUAUAUAUUGUUUUACAUUAAAAUAACUGGUAAUUCAACUAUUUGACACAUUUAGUUCUUUAGAGAUUGAUUUAUUUAAUUUUGUCCCAUUUGGUCCACCACACAUAAGUAGAAAUGUAAAGGUCUGCUAAAAUGUGGCUAUUGAUGCCAAUCCAAGCUAAGAAACUAUAUUAUUAUAUUACUAUAUUAGUAGUGACGCCAAUAUCAACAAUAUACCUCAGCCCAUCAUGAGCAGACAAUGUGGCAUUUGACAUAUUAGCACUUUGUAACUCACAAAUGAUAAAGGUUGCACUUUCCGUGGUUGAUCUGGUUAAAUUAUAUUUUAGGAUUGUUAUUUCUAAUAAUGACAAUUUUGGAAGGAAAGCUGCAUCAGUGC